GAAAUGCGAUAAGUAAUGUGAAUUGCAGAAUUCAGUGAAUCAUCGAAUCUUUGAACGCAUCUUGCGCUCCUUGGUAUUCCGAGGAGCAUGCCUGUUUGAGUGUCAUUAAAUUCUCAACUCUCCUAUACUUUGUUGUAGAGGAGGGCUUGGAUUGUGGAGGCUUGCUGGCCGCUUACUGGGGUCAGCUCCUCUGAAAUGCAUUAGCAGAACUGUUUGCGAUCUGCCACAAGUGUGAUAAAUUAUCUACACUGGCAGGGGGAUUGCUCUCUGUGUUCGGCUUCUAAUCGUCUUGAGUGACAAUUUUUKGAAUGCUUGACCUCAAAUCAGGUAGGACUACCCGCUGAACUUAA
rnacentral:rRNA from 1 species